rnacentral:sRNA from 1 species
CAGUCAUCCUUGACUGAAGUGCAGUAUUUAUCCACAGAGCAGGUACGGCACAGGCAGCAUCGGAGAAUGCUUCUUCCAUUCCCUGUCACGUGCACGAGUCAUUGAUGUGCCUCUGGCUCUGCAAGUGCCAUCUGUAUAAGCAAGAGGGGGUGCCAUUCCCAGUCUUAGUGUUACUCUUAAAAGAUAUU